UACGUAGGGGGCAAGCGUUGUCCGGAUUUAUUGGGCGUAAAGAGCGUGUAGGCGGCUCGAUAAGUCUGCUGUGAAAGUCCAGGGCUCAACCCUGGAAGGCCGGUGGAAACUGUCGGGCUAGAGUCCGGAAGAGGCGAGUGGAAUUCCCGGUGUAGCGGUGAAAUGCGCAGAUAUCGGGAGGAACACCAAUGGCGAAGGCAGCUCGCUGGGACGUUACUGACGCUGAGACGCGAAAGCGUGGGGAGCAAACAGGG
rnacentral:rRNA from 1 species